rnacentral:tRNA from 1 species
GGCCUUGUAGUGUUAGCACGUGUGGUUGCAAACCUCAAAAUGCAGAAUAAACCCCUGCCGGGGCUU